AGUGAACGCUGGCGGUAUGCCUAACACAUGCAAGUCGAACGGCAGCACAGUAAGAGCUUGCUCUUACGGUUGGCGAGUGGCGGACGGGUGAGGAAUACAUCGGAAUCUACUUUUUCGAGGGUGAUAACGUAGGGAAACUUACGCUAAUACCGCAUACGACCUACGGGUGAAAGCAGGGGAUCUUCGGACCUUGCGCGAUUGAAUUAGCCGAUGUCGGAUUAGCUAGUUGGCUGGGUAAAGUCCCACCAAGGCGACGAUCCGUAGCUGGUCUGAGAGGAUGAUCGGCCACACUGGAACUGAGACACGGUCCAGACUCCUACGGGAGGCAGCAGUGGGGAAUAUUGGACAAUGGGCGAAAGCCUGAUCCAGCCAUACCGCGUGGGUGAAGAAGGCCUUCGGGUUGUAAAGCCCUUUUGUUGGGAAAGAAAAGCAGCAGGUUAAUACCCCGCUGUUCUGACGGUACCCAAAGAAUAAGCACCGGCUAACUUCGUG
rnacentral:rRNA from 1 species